GACGUAGGGCGCGAGCGUUGUCCGGAUUUAUUGGGCGUAAAGAGCUCGUAGGCGGCUUGUCGCGUCGAAUGUGAAAUCUCGGGGCUCAACUCCGAGCUUGCAUUCGAUACGGGCAGGCUAGAGUUCGGUAGGGGAGACUGGAAUUCCUGGUGUAGCGGUGAAAUGCGCAGAUAUCAGGAGGAACACCGAUGGCGAAGGCAGGUCUCUGGGCCGAUACUGACGCUGAGGAGCGACAGCAUGGGGAGCAAACAGG
rnacentral:rRNA from 1 species